UACGGAGGGUGCAAGCGUUAUCCGGAUUUAUUGGGUUUAAAGGGUCCGUAGGCGGAUCUAUAAGUCAGUGGUGAAAGCCGACAGCUUAACUGUCGAACUGCCGUUGAUACUGUAGGUCUUGAGUAAAUUUGAAGUGGCUGGAAUAAGUAGUGUAGCGGUGAAAUGCAUAGAUAUUACUUAGAACACCAAUUGCGAAGGCAGGUCACUAAGAUUUAACUGACGCUGAUGGACGAAAGCGUGGGGAGCGAACAGGAUUAGAUACCCUGGUAGUCCACGCCGUAAACGAUGCUAACUCGUUUUUGGGUCUUCGGAUUCAGAGACCAAGCGAAAGUGAUAAGUUAGCCACCUGGGGAGUACGAACGCAAGUUUGAA
rnacentral:rRNA from 1 species